rnacentral:rRNA from 1 species
UACAGAGGUCCCGAGCGUUGUCCGGAUUUAUUGGGUUUAAAGGGUGCGUAGGCGGCCCGUUAAGUCAGUGGUGAAAGCCUCCAGCUCAACUGGAGAACUGCCAUUGAUACUGGCGGGCUUGAGUACAGACGAGGUAGGCGGAAUUGACGGUGUAGCGGUGAAAUGCUUAGAUAUCGUCAAGAACACCUAUAGCGAAGGCAGCUUACUAGGCUGUAACUGACGCUGAGGCACGAAAGUGUGGGGAUCAAACAGG